rnacentral:rRNA from 1 species
CCUACGGGGUGCAGCAGUAGGGAAUCUUGCGCAAUGGACGAAAGCCUGACGCAGCCAUGCCGCGUGAAUGAUGAAGGUCUUAGGAUUGUAAAAUUCUUUCACCGGGGACGAUAAUGACGGUACCCGGAGAAGAAGCUCCGGCUGACUUCGUGCCAGCAGCCGCGGUAAUACGAAGGGGGCUAACGUUGCUCGGAAUUACUGGGCGUAAAGGGCGCGUAGGCGGACAGUUUAGUCAGAGGUGAAAGCCCAGGGCUCAACCUUGGAAUAGCCUUUGAUACUGACUGUCUUGAGUACGGGAGAGGUGUGUGGAACUCCGAGUGUAGAGGUGAAAUUCGUAGAUAUUCGGAAGAACACCAGUGGCGAAGGCGACACACUGGCCCGUUACUGACGCUGAGGCGCGAAAGCGUGGGGAGCAAACAGGAUUAGAUACCCCAGUAGUCC